rnacentral:rRNA from 1 species
UACGUAGGGGGCAAGCGUUGUCCGGAAUCAUUGGGCGUAAAGCGCGUGUAGGCGGCUCGAUAAGUCUGCUGUGAAAGUUCAGGGCUCAACCCUGAAAUGCCGGUGGAAACUGUCGAGCUAGAGUCCGGAAGAGGCGAGUGGAAUUCCUGGUGUAGCGGUGAAAUGCGCAGAUAUCGGAAGGAACACCUGUGGCGAAAGCGGCUCACUGGACCAUUACUGACGCUGAGGCACGAAAGCUAGGGGAGCAAACAGG